UACGUAGGGUGCAAGCGUUAAUCGGAAUUACUGGGCGUAAAGCGUGCGCAGGCGGUUGUGCAAGACAGAUGUGAAAUCCCCGGGCUCAACCUGGGAACUGCAUUUGUGACUGCACGGCUGGAGUGCGGCAGAGGGGGGGAUGGAAUUCCGCGUGUAGCAGUGAAAUGCGUAGAUAUGCGGAGGAACACCGAUGGCGAAGGCAAUCCCCUGGGCCUGCACUGACGCUCAUGCACGAAAGCGUGGGGAGCAAACAGG
rnacentral:rRNA from 1 species